rnacentral:rRNA from 1 species
ACUCCUACGGGAGGCAGCAGUGGGGGAAUAUUGCACAAUGGGCGCAAGCCUGAUGCAGCCAUGCCGCGUGUAUGAAGAAGGCCCUUCGGGUUGUAAAGUACUUUCAGCAGUGAGGAAGGUGGGUAUGUUAAUAGCAUACUCAUUUGACGUUAGCUGCAGAAGAAGCACCGGCUAACUCCGUGCCAGCAGCCGCGGUAAUACGGAGGGGUGCGAGCGUUAAUCGGAAUUACUGGGCGUAAAGCGCAUGCAGGUGGUUUGUUAAGUCAGAUGUGAAAGCCCGGGGCUCAACCUCGGAAUUGCAUUUGAAACUGGCAAACUAGAGUACUGUAGAGGGGGUAGAAUUUCAGGUGUAGCGGUGAAAUGCGUAGAGAUCUGAAGGAAUACCGGUGGCGAAGGCGGCCCCCUGGACAGAUACUGACACUCAGAUGCGAAA